UGGGGAAUAUUGGACAAUGGGCGCAAGCCUGAUCCAGCCAUGCCGCGUGAGUGAUGAAGGCCCUAGGGUUGUAAAGCUCUUUCACCGGUGAAGAUAAUGACGGUAACCGGAGAAGAAGCCCCGGCUAACAUCGUGCCAGCAGCCGCGGUAAUACGAAGGGGGGUAGAGUUGUUACGAUUUACUGGGCGUAAAGCGCACGUAGGCGGACUAUUAAGUCAGGGGUGAAAUCCCGGGGCUCAACCCCGGGACUGCCUUUGAUACUGGUAGUCUUGAGUACUAGAGAGGUGUGUGGCAUUCCGAGUGUAGAUGUGAUAUUCGUAGAUAUUCAGAGGAACACCAGUAGCGAAGGCCGCUCACUGGCUCGAUACUGUCGCUGAGGUGCGAAAGCGUGGGGAGCACACAAG
rnacentral:rRNA from 1 species